CGCAAAACGGGGAUUAGAUACCCCGGUAGUCCAGGGUGUAAACGCUGCAGACUUGGUGUUGGAGGCAAUUCGGUUGCAUUCAGUGCCGGAGAGAAGUUGUUAAGUCUGCUACUUGGGGAGUACGUCCGCAAGGAUGAAACUUAAAGGAAUUGGCGGGGGAGCACCGCAACGGGAGGAGCGUGCGGUUUAAUUGGAUUCAACACCGGAAAACUCACCAAGGGCGACUAUCACAUGAAAGCCAGGCUAAUGACCUUGCUUGAUUCUUAGAGAGGUGGUGCAUGGCCGUCGUCAGUUCGUACCGUAAGGCGUUCUCUUAAGUGAG
rnacentral:rRNA from 1 species